GAUGGAAGAACGCAGCGAAAUACGAUAAGUAAUGUGAAUUGCAGAAUUCAGUGAAUCAUCGAAUCUUUGAACGCACAUUGCGCUCCCUGGUAUUCCGGGGAGCAUGCCUGUUCGAGCGUCAUUACAACCCUCAAGCUCUGCUUGGUGUUGGGCCCCGCCGCCCCGGCGGGCCCUAAAGUCAGUGGCGGUGCCGUCCGGCUCCGAGCGUAGUAAUUUUUCUCGCUUUGGAGGCCCGGGCGCGUGCUUGCCAUCAACCCCCAAUUUUUUUCAGGUUGACCUCGGAUCAGGUAGGGAUACCCGCUGAACUUAAGCAUAUCAAUAAGCGGAGGA
rnacentral:misc_RNA from 1 species